AUGAGAGAACCACAGUUUUUGCAUUCAGUGUCUCUGGGAAAGGAACAAAAUGGCGUCUGGCAGGAGAUAAAGCUGGUGAGAAAGAGACCUAAUGAACUUGGUGGAGGCGCCGGAGACCAAGACCACACCCAUCAUGUCUCCUGCAAGUUUCUCAGUGGAAAAAUGAACCUUCUCCACCAGCAGGUAUGCCUCCUGCCCAGCCCUCCUGCUCUCCUCACAGAGGGAGGGAGCUGAGAUGGCGCUCACCUCAGGGAGGGGCUCCAGUUAGGAUGGUAGGUCUUGAGAGGCCUACAGAGCAAGCUCUGCCACCUGCAAGGCAGAUCCUCUAGAUUGACAUGGGUCUACAUUUAAUCCCCUUGUGUUAUGUCUGAACCUUUAAUCGAUGGCCUUUGGUCUCAGUCAGCUGCCCUUGGUGGAGGACCAGUAUCCACACCCAGGCCAGAGCACAGGACAGGUGUUGUCCCUGAGGAGGGCAGCAGUAAUUUGGGACCUUCUCUCAGGGUAAGAUGCACAAAUAGGCAAUUCUACAGACACAGAAGGUAGAUUAGUGGUUGCUGAAGGCCAGGAGCAAUGGGGAGUUUCUUUUUCAAGUGAUGAAAGUGGCCUGGAACUGAAUACUGAUGAUGCAUAACUGUAUGAAAAUGCUAAAAAGCAUUGAAUGGUACACUUCAAAUGGAUGAAUUUUACAGCAUGUGAAUUGUAUUUCAAUUUUUAAAAUUUGAGGGGAAAAAAGGGGCAAAGGUGAAUUUUGGACUAAUGCUCAGGGCUGUCAAAGCCAGCAGCUGCUCUCCCGCCAAGUAUCCUGCCUGCAUAUUGUAAAUGUGGGUUUUAAAAAAUAUUUUAUUUAAAAAAAUAUUUUAUGUAUUUAUUUGAGAGAGAGAGAGCACAAGUGGGAUGGAGGGCAGAGGGCCAGAGGAAGAGGGAGAAGCAGACUCCCCGCUGACCAGGGAGUCCAAUGUGGGGCUCGAUCCCAGGACCCUGAAAUCAUGACCUGAGCUGAAGGCAGAUGCUUAACCACCUGAGCCACCAGACAUCUCAAUGUUUUUAAGUGUCUUAUAUACUUUUUCAUAAUUUUCAUUCUUACAGUGGAAUGAUGGUCCACCGUGUAUCAUAAUUCAUAAAGAGAUAAUUCCAGUGCUGGUGAUUUAAGAAUGUUCCAUGUUUUACUGUUAUAGAUGGCAAAGAAAGUAAAAAAACCUCCCUGCACUCUGCCACAAAUCUUGAUUUUCCACAAACUUACUCCUGGAAUCUCUAUUCUAGUGCUGGAUGACGCAUGGUCUCUAUUUUAACCCUGUUCCUUGUUGCCUGUAGUUUCAUCCUGUCCCCUUGGGUAAGCCUCAUCAUAAAAAUCUAGCUCAUCCGACUUCAUCUGUGUUUUUAUUGCUGGACCUAUUACACCAUUUUGUGAUGUAUUUAUUUACCUAUCUGCUCUGCCAGACUGUGAGCCCCCUGAGGUCAGACACAGUGUCUUACUAAUUUCUAAUUCCCUGUUGCCUCUGCUUGGCAGGUGGAAUGUGUAAAGUAUAUGUUAAUUGAAUUUAAUUGAAUUGCAAAGAUUCUGAAGAACACUGCUGAGGGUGUCUCUUUGCUUCUGUUCAAUUAUUCUCCUUAGUGUUAAUUGCAAAAACUGGAAUCACUGUGGCUAAAAGGCACAAAUGUGUCUCCUUACUUGCCACGAUGUUUUCUCAAAGCGGGUCCUGAUUUGCAGCACCCCCUGAGAUGAACACCAAUAUCACCAUCACCUUGCCAGCCCAUCAAUUUAAAAAACGCUAAUUUAGUAGAUGUCAAAUAGCAUUUCUCAUUCAAGGUUGCUUUGAUUUACAUUUCUCUGAGUACUACCAGGGCUGAACAUUUCUCAGGUGUUUAUUUACUAUUUUUCUCUUGGGGGGAACUGCUUGUUUAUAUUUUUCGUCCGUUUAUCUAUUAGAGUAAAGAAAUAUAACUAAUAAAUUUGAAGAAGCUCCUUUUAUAUUUUAUACA
rnacentral:lncRNA from 12 species